AUUGAACGCUGGCGGCAUGCCUUACACAUGCAAGUCGAACGGCAGCAUAGGAGCUUGCUCCUGAUGGCGAGUGGCGAACGGGUGAGUAAUAUAUCGGAACGUGCCCUAGAGUGGGGGAUAACUAGUCGAAAGACUAGCUAAUACCGCAUACGAUCUACGGAAGAAAGGGGGGGAUCGCAAGACCUCAUGCUCCUGGAGCGGCCGAUAUCUGAUUAGCUAGUUGGUGGGGUAAAAGCUCACCAAGGCGACGAUCAGUAGCUGGUCUGAGAGGACGACCAGCCACACUGGGACUGAGACACGGCCCAGACUCCUACGGGAGGCAGCAGUGGGGAAUUUUGGACAAUGUGGGCAACCCUGAUCCAGCAAUGCCGCGUGAGUGAAGAAGGCCUUCGGGUUGUAAAGCUCUUUUGUCAGGGAAGAAACGGUUCUGGAUAAUACCUGGGACUAAUGACGGUACCUGAAGAAUAAGCACCGGCUAACUACGUGCCAGCCGCCGCCGUAA
rnacentral:rRNA from 1 species